rnacentral:misc_RNA from 1 species
CACAAUGAAACAGUUAUCAGUAGAAGUAAAUUGCAUUCAUCAACCUCAGAUAAAAAAUCCCUACUAUGUUAAUUCUAUGCCUUUAUAUUAUUUGAUUAUUGUUGCAUCACGUGGCAAGUUCAACCAGGAAAGCAACUAUGUGUCUCUGUUGUUGGAAUUCUUAUACACUUCUAGUGGGACUUCAUAAGUCAGAUGCAAGAGCGACAACUAAUGAGUAAUGACCAAAUAGAGCCCAACAAAUAUUAUAUCUCCACAGAAGGAAAAUUCUUGUCACUUGUGGCUGUGCGACAUCAAGAAAAAUUACCUAAACACCACUGGGAGAAUCUUCAGUAAAGUUGCUCAACUAAUUCAAAGUUCAAACUUCCUUCUAGUAACUUCAUCAUCUUUUGGCAGUAACACCCCACCCCAUUGG